UCGAUGAGAAUAAUAGAUUGGUGCAAAAGUAAUCGCGGUUUUUGCCAUCAAAAGUAAUGCCAAAAACCCGCGAUUACUUCUGUACUAACCUAAUACAU
rnacentral:miRNA from 1 species